CAAUAUGAGCAAUUUAGAAGAGGAAAUAGUGAAGAUCGGCCUAGAUGGAGCCGAAGUAAAAAAUGGAGUAAAGGAAAAGAGAAAAAAUAUUUCUUUUCUUGAAGAAUCUUUGGCUCAAGAUGAGCCGGAUGUGUCUGAAGAAACAGAGGAUUCGGCUGAUAAAGCCGAAAUAUAUGUGGCUGAGAUGGUAAAAAACCGUUAGUUGUAUAAGUGUUCUUUAUUAAAA
rnacentral:lncRNA from 1 species